CCCCUACGGGAGGCUGCAGUGGGGAAUAUUGGACAAUGGGCGCAAGCCUGAUCCAGCCAUGCCGCGUGUGUGAAGAAGGCCUUCGGGUUGUAAAGCACUUUUGUCCGGGAAGAAAUCUUCCGACCUAAUACGUCGGGAGGAUGACGGUACCGGAAGAAUAAGCACCGGCUAACUUCGUGCCAGCAGCCGCGGUAAUACGAAGGGUGCAAGCGUUACUCGGAAUUACUGGGCGUAAAGCGUGCGUAGGUGGUUCGUUAAGUCUGCCGUGAAAGCCCCGGGCUCAACCUGGGAAUGGCGGUGGAUACUGGCGGACUAGAGUGCGGUAGAGGGUGGUGGAAUUCCCGGUGUAGCAGUGAAAUGCGUAGAGAUCGGGAGGAACAUCUGUGGCGAAGGCGGCCACCUGGACCAGCACUGACACUGAGGCACGAAAGCGUGGGGAGCAAACAGGAUUAGAUACCCUGGUAGUCU
rnacentral:rRNA from 1 species